CCUUGACAUACUAAGAACUUUCCAGAGAUGGAUUGGUGCCUUCGGGAACUUAGAUACAGGUGCUGCAUGGCUGUCGUCAGCUCGUGUCGUGAGAUGUUGGGUUAAGUCCCGNAACGAGCGCAACCUUUUCCUAUUUGCCAGCGGGUCAUGCCGGGAACUUUAAGGAUACUGCCAGUGACAAACUGGAGGAAGGCGGGGACGACGUCAAGUCAUCAUGGCCCUUACGGCCAGGGCUACACACGUGAUACAAUGGUCGGUACAAAGGGUUGCUACCUCGCGAGAGGAUGCUAAUCUCAAAAAGCCGAUCGUAGUCCGGAUCGCAGUCUGCAACUCGACUGCGUGAAGUCGGAAUCGCUAGUAAUCGCGGAUCAGAAUGCCGCGGUGAAUACGUUCCCGGGCCUUGUACACACCGCCCGUCACACCAUGGGAGUUUGUUGCACCAGAAGUAGGUAGUCUAACCGCAAGGAGGACGCUUACCACGGUGUGGCCGAUGACUGGGGUGAAGUCGUAACAAGGUAAGCGUAGAUGA
rnacentral:rRNA from 1 species